UCUGGAAAUUCCCCCCAAAAAUUCCCUUGGAAAAACCCCAGAAAAUCCCCCAAAAAUUCUUUGGGAAUUCCCCCAAAAAUGCCUUUGGAAAAUCCCUAAAAAAAAUUGGGGGGAAAAUGAGAAAAAAAAUUGUAAAAAAUGUAAAAAAUGGGACGGGGGAGGGAAAUGGGAAAAUUUGGGUGAAAAUGAGAAAAAAACGGGAAAAAUCUGGAAAAUCCCCGGGAGUCCCCUGGGAAUUCUGUGACAUUCCAGUGUCAUUAAUUUUCGUGUUGUCACAUUUGCACCGGAUUUUGCCUUAAUUCCCCGGAAAUCCGCCAAAUUCCGUGCCGUUAAUUAAUCCUGUGUCAUUCAUUAAUUUCGUGUUGUUAAUCCCAUGUCAUUAUUUAAUUCCGUCUCAUCAAGUCCGAGUCAUUAAUGCCAUGUCAGUAAUUAAUUCCGUGUCAUUAAUUAAUUCAGUGUAGUUUAUUAAUUCCACGUCAUUUAUUAAUUUCAUGUAAAUAAUUCCGUGUCAGUAAUGUCCUUUUAUUAAUUCUGUGUCAAUAAUAAAUUCCAUGUCAUUAAUCCCGUGCCA
rnacentral:lncRNA from 1 species